rnacentral:tRNA from 1 species
GCCGCGGUCGCCUAAUCAGGUAUGGCGACGGUUUGAUACACCGUAACUCGAAAGAGUAUCUGGGUUCAAAAACCUUUCGGUGUGCCGGACCGUUGGUUGAAUUUCCCAGCCGCGGCG